rnacentral:rRNA from 1 species
GAUGAACGCUAGCGGGAGGCUUAACACAUGCAAGUCGAGGGGCAGCACGAUGUAGCAAUACAUUGGUGGCGACCGGCGCACGGGUGAGUAACGCGUAUGCAACCUACCCUGUACAGGGGGAUAACCCGGAGAAAUUCGGACUAAUACCCCAUAAAGAUAUCUGGAGGCAUCUUUAGAUAUUUAAAGUUCCGGCGGUACGGGAUGGGCAUGCGUAACAUUAGCUAGUUGGGAGGGUAACGGCCUACCAAGGCGACGAUGUUUAGGGGGACCUGAGAGGGUGAUCCCCCACACUGGUACUGAGACACGGACCAGACACCUACGGGUGGCAG